rnacentral:rRNA from 1 species
UACGUAGGUGGCAAGCGUUGUCCGGAUUUACUGGGCGUAAAGAGCGCGCAGGCGGUCGUUCAAGUCGCGUGUGAAAGCCCCCGGCUCAACUGGGGAGGGUCACGCGAUACUGAUCGACUCGAAGGCAGGAGAGGGUAGUGGAAUUCCCGGUGUAGUGGUGAAAUGCGUAGAGAUCGGAAAGAACACCAACGGCGAAAGCACUCUGCUGGGCCGACACUGACACUUAGAGACGAAAGCUAGGGGAGCGAAUGGG